rnacentral:rRNA from 1 species
AUUGAACGCUGGCGGCAGGCCUAACCCAUGCAAGUCGAACGAGUGGCGGACGGGUGAGUAAUGUCUGGGAAACUGCCCGAUGGAGGGGGAUAACUACUGGAAACGGUAGCUAAUACCGCAUACCAUCGGAUGUGCCCAGAUGGUAUUAGCUAGUGGGUGGGGUAACGGCUCACCUAGGCGACAAUCCCUAGCUGGUCUGAGAGGAUGACCAGCGACUCUUGAACUGGGACACGGUCAAGACGCCUACGGGAGGCAGCAGUGGGGAAUAUUGCACAAUGGGAGCAAGCCUGAUGCAGUCAUGCCGCGUGUAUGAAGAAGGCCUUCGGGUUGUAAAGUACUUUCAGCGGGGAGGCGUUACUCGCAGAAGAAGCACCGGCUAACUCCGUGCCAGCCGCCGCGGUAAUAC